CGUCGGUCCGGGAUGGGCAUGCGGCGCAUUAGCUUGUUGGCGGGGUAACGGCCCACCAAGGCGACGAUGCGUAGGGGUUCUGAGAGGAAGGUCCCCCACACUGGUACUGAGACACGGACCAGACUCCUACGGGAGGCAGCAGUGAGGAAUAUUGGUCAAUGGACGCGAGUCUGAACCAGCCAAGUCGCGUGCGGGACGAAGGCCCUCCGGGUCGUAAACCGCUUUAGCCGGGGAGUAACGUGCGGGACGCGUCCCGCAGUGAGAGUACCCGGAGAAUAAGCAUCGGCUAACUCCGUGCCAGCAGCCGCGGUAAUACGGAGGAUGCGAGCGUUAUCCGGAUUUAUUGGGUUUAAAGGGUGCGCAGGCGGCGCGUCAAGUCAGCGGUCAAACUGCGGGGCUCAACCCCGUAUCGCCGUUGAAACUGGCGAGCUGGAGUUCGUGCGACGGAGGCGGAAUGCGCGGUGUAGCGGUGAAAUGCAUAGAUAUCGCGCAGAACCCCGAUUGCGAAGGCAGCUUCCGAGCACGCGACUGACGCUCAUGCACGAAAGCGUGGGUAUCGAACAGGAUUAGAUACCCUGGU
rnacentral:rRNA from 1 species